UUCCGGUUAGCGUUGUGAAGCAUAAACGAAAUAAACACGGAAUACGUUGAUACACACCGAAAGACCUACCGUUAUUGAUCACCAGCCCAGAGAGUCAAAAUGUUUAUUUUACACAACGUUUUCACUAAACAGCAAACAUCUUACAUGGCAUUCAACAUGAUCGUCAUCUGAGGAGCAACAGCCAGACUCAGAAAGACUUCAAGAAACCUUCCUACAUUAUCAGGACAAAGAAACCGUCCUACAUGAUCAGGACAAAGAAACCUUCCUAUAUUAUCAGGACAGAGAAACCGUCCUACAUGAUCAGGACAAAGAAACCUUCCUACAUGAUCAGGACAGAGAAACCUUCAUACAUUAUCAAGAAAGAGAAACCUUCCUACAUGAUCAGGACAGAGAAACCUUCAUACAUUAUCAAGAAAGAGAAACCUUCGUACGUGAUCAGGACAAAGAAACCUUCCUACAUUAUCAGGUACUAAAGGCAACAUGGUCCUGAGAGUGUUUGUCCCACCACCAGUGUAACAGGUUGGAACCAAUAUGGCUGAAUAUCUCUGCCAGGCGACCAAAAGAACAAGAGACCUGAACCCUUUGUUCUGACUAGGGGAUAAUUGCCUCUACUCCCUGGCAAUCACCAUCAUGAAUGGGCGGGCUCUGGAGCGGAAUACAUUAUGUUUUGUUGUUGUUUACAUAAAUUCAUAUUGAAAAUUGAUACCUGGCAGUGCUAGCUGUGCCACUAGAG